GACGAACGCUGGCGGCGCGCCUAACACAUGCAAGUCGAACGGAGUUAUUUUGACAGAAGCCUUCGGGCAGACGUUGAUAUAACUUAGUGGCGAACGGGUGAGUAACACGUGAGCAACCUGCCCUUCAGAGGGGGACAACAGUUGGAAACGACUGCUAAUACCGCAUAAGACCACGGUGUGGCAUCACACAGAGGUCAAAGGAGAAAUCCGCUGAAGGAUGGGCUCGCGUCCAAUUAGCUAGAUGGUGAGGUAACGGCCCACCAUGGCGACGAUUGGUAGCCGGACUGAGAGGUUGAUCGGGCCACAUUGGGACUGAGACACGGCCCAGACUCCUACGGGAGGCAGCAGUGGGGAAUAUUGCACAAUGGAGGAAACUCUGAUGCAGCGACGCCGCGUGAGGGAAGAAGGGUCUUCGGGAUUGUAAAGCUCUGUCUUCAGGGACGAAAUAAUGACGGUACCUGGAGGAGGAAGCUCCGGG
rnacentral:rRNA from 1 species